CGGCUCCCAGUUAAACCCCGCAGAAAUUCCUGCAGGAUUACAACACAGAUUGGCAGCUCCCCCAGCCAGUGGAAGGAGGCGGCGCGUCUCCGCCGCCGGCUCUCGCCCCUCGCAAAUUCAAGCAACUUUCCACCUCCUUCCCCCCCUUUCCUCCCCCCCAAAAAAACCUCCGCCCCUCUCUAUCUUCCUCUCUCUCGUCCUCCUCCCCAGUGGAAAACAUAAGCAGCGAGCGGGGGCUGGCCCCGGGUAGAAGGAAUUCUUCCCUCUGCUGCGUGUUCUCAGCCGCCGGAUCGUGCCGUGCUGCCUCUCACAUCCUCCCCAGCUACCUAGAAUGCAGCAUCAGACUUUUCUCUGGAGACUGGUAACUUUUAGGAAUGGGAGAGUGGCUGUGAUUUGUGCCUCAUUACAUGGAGCCAGAAAGAAAACAAAUAUUGCAGGAAUCUACAGCACCAAAAAUGCGCACUUCAGAAGCAAAACCAAGAGGUCUUGCUGUGACUGACCCAUGGUGUUUAUCAUGUGGGGAAAAUAAUAGUAUUGCAGAGCUUAGGAGCAUCUUUCUGAUUCAGGCGCCCAUGCCAGCGUGUUUCCACUGCCAAGCGUGUCCAUAUGUUACAUCAGUCACUGGACACAGGAAGGUGAAAUAUAUUGCCUCUUGGUUAUGAACUGCCACCCAUGAUUCAAUUCAGAGCUUGCGUUUGUAGCCUGAGUGAGGUGGUCACCAUGACUGUAAUGAUCACUCUUCUUUUAGACAAGCCCAUCCCAUUCAGAGGACCCCAAAGAAGCAGUAAGCACGGGGAUCCCAGUGCAGGUGUUUCUCCAUGCCCAUUGCCUUGCCUGUAUUGGCCUUUGAGUGGUGCUGAGAUCCUAUCUGCCUCCAGGCCCUGUGGUUGCUUUCCUAUCAAAACAGAAGAACAAAACCAAAUGUGGUUAAUUAAGCACAUACAGUCUGUUGCCUUCCCAGCCUCUCCCAGACAAAGGCACCCCACACAUGCCUGUGUGAUACGGCUGUGUGCUGGGGAGCAGCAGGACUCGUGUCCCCACGGGGCAGGUGGCCAUGCCCUGAGUGUUCCCACUGCCAGGAACGUGAUACUUCUCAGCAGCACUGGCCGUGCUAUUUCCAGACCCACCUCCCAGACAUGCCGUGUCAUUGAUUUUUAGGCUGCAUUCACCGCUGAAAUCUCAGCAGAUUUUCAAUGGUCUGCUCCUGGCAGGCGUCAUGCACAAACAGGUUGUUUAAUAGAUUCCUUCUCCUUCAAAAGCCGUUGCAAAUAUUUAGGGCCAGUUCUGUGUAUUCUCUUCUUUGACGGGUGGUUGGAUUGCAACCUAACAAACUGAGGAACUGUUGCAGCAUGACUUGAUGAGAGAAGCUGAAGUA